rnacentral:lncRNA from 1 species
UGUAACUGGAUGCUUCUCUAGCAUGCAUAAUACUCAGAGUUCAGUCCCCAGCACUGCAAACAUAAGUAAAACAUCUAGUGUAAUCCUCUUUUAUGUUUAUUUACUGUCUCUGUCUGUGUGCAUGCAUGCAUGCAUGAGCCAUGUGUGUGGAGGUCAGAGGACAGCUUAUUGGGAUCAUUUUCUGUUUCUGUCAUGUGGGUGGGUUCCCGGGUUUAACCUGGCCAGUCAGGAUUGGCUGCAGAUGUCUACCUGCUAAGUCCUCUUGGCAGCCAUGUAGUGGUUUUUUUUGGUUUUUUUGUUUGUUUGUUUGUUGUUUAAUUAAGGAAUCUUACUUCCUUUACUAAAAUUAAUCUUGUGCAUAUAUGUGUCCUGACUUGCUCCUUACUUAAUCACUGUUUAGUGACACUGAGGGUGUGGAAAGUGGAGCCCUCCCCACUGCACUGCCAUAACCCAAGGGACUUGGGCUAGGGCUUGAAACACUUGCCAUUUAGGGAAGCAGCCCUGUGCUCUGGUGGCACCCCAUCCACCCUCCCUAGGGUCCCUGAGAGUGACUAUGAACUCAGACCACAGACAUUAGAGCUCUGUGCUCUACAAGCAAUUUUGUACUA